UUCAUAUACGUCGGUUGGAAUGUAUAAAAAAACAAAUUAGAAUAGAAAUCAGUGGUGUUAUUCUUGAAAUUUGGCGAAAAGUCAAAUAAAUUUGUCAAAAAAUGUUUCCAUUUUUCGUCGACUAACUGCGUUUAGAAAUGGUUUAGACUGGCAGUCGUCGUCAAUUCACUGUUUUUUUUAUAUGAACUCCAAAUUUUAAAAGAGAUUUCUUUAAAUGGUUAUCAUCGAUGAAAGAGACAGAAAAUGAACCUUUCCUGCCAAGUUUUACGUUUAUUAUUAACAAGCAUUUGGAAAAGUGGAUUGUCGAAAUAAUGUUAUGUACAAAAUUUAUGAGAUUUUGGGAAUUUGUCUAAGCAUUUACAAAAUACGUAGGUACUUGAACCCAAAAUUGGUUCUAAUUUGUAGGAAAGUUGAACCUGUCACUGCUUGGCCACCAUCUACGUGAACUUUAGCUACUGUUUCAAAUUAUAAAGUUAUUGGGAAUUCACGAUUUUGUUACGUUUUUCAUACGAGAACAUCUUCAAUAUCAUUUUU